GAGAAUGGGGCUUAAGGGUUGAGCAGUGCGUUCCCCAGUGUUUUCUGCUUCUCCUUUCUGAUCCGUGGAGGGAAGCACCUGGACUCUUCCAGUCAGGCGGUAAGUGCCCAGAGACCUUGAGCAGCUUGCGUGUGUGUCGCCCCAAACAGCUAGAAAUUGACUGCUGUCUCUUUUCCUCCCUUUCUUCUUCUCCUCCACCCAAAUCUGAGAUACCUGCCCUGACACUUUUGGUGAGGCAGAGGCACUUUGGAAAUAGAAGAAGCGAAAACUGGAGGAGAAAGUGCAUUUCUGGUGGGCAAAACCAGUGAGGCAGGAGAAUGGGGGGAGGCCCCUGCACAACAAGCGGGGUGCCGAAAGGAAGCAUCUGCACCCACGGAGGUGCCACCAAGAGCCCCACUCAUAACUCUGCCCCGGGGGGCAGGGUUGGCCUAUUCCCCAGCCCCCUCCUUGACAUGUCUUUGGACGCUGACUUUCUUCUUGGCAAGCAACGUGUGAAGCGUGUCGGAAGGGGAGAAAUCAGAGAGCCGGGGCAGGACGAAGCAGCUGAAUGUUACUCCUGUGGUUUGAGCAGGGUUUGUGUUUCCACCGCUCGGUACAUAUCCGGACUUGGUACCUCUUGGGUUGGUUUUCACAGUGUCUCUGCAAGCCCGAGGACAGUUCUUAUUGCUGCGGCCGAGUUGCUAAAAGACGACCAGCGCAGGGUCUCGGGUAACUCCCCUGUCCCCAGGAGCACUCAGACUUUUCUCUCUGUCCUUCUCUACUGUUGCUUGGUGGCUUUGGAGGCUUUGUUGGGCUGCCCAUGCCUCUAGCCAUGCUGGUUGGUGCAUUGAAUGGUGGUGGGAAGCGAGGAGUGGAAUCGGGGUUUCGCUGACCGCACAGGACGCUCGUUCACUCGCCCACGUGAAGCCCUGCCUCCCUUGGGCAUGUUGGAGAAGGAAGGUUAUUGUGAAGGUCAUCACCUGGCCAAGGCAGCGCCCUCCUGCCCUGCGGCAGAGACCACUUGCAGCACAGGACGUCAGCCUGCGCGGUGGCUUGAGGGAGGUAAGUUGCCCACACGUGACAAGUCGGGGCACGCGACUGCCAGCCCCGCUGCUCUCAUGAGCCUGCUUUGAACCCAGGACUGCAUGAAACCACGUAGCCAGCAACAGGCGGCUGGUGCCUCCCUCGCACCUUCCCAGACAUGGCUUGACUGCAGCGUGGCCUAAUGGAGAGGGAGCGCGUUCACCUCUGUCGACUAUAACAGCCUGGAUCCCCAGGCACUUGAGUCCCAGCUGGGUUGCUAAAUGGUAUUAAUCCCCACUCUAAUUAUACCACUAUUUAGUUAUUAACCAGCCAUACAAAUAGUGGAGUCUAUAGCACUUGUCAUUUCCAGCCGCCGUCCCCUUUGUGUUCGAUCAAUCUGUCCUCAGCACUUUCUGUAAUGAAACAGCCUUAGAAAACCACUGCUUUUAAUUGCAAAGCAUGAAGCCUUUGCCAGGCCGUGUCCUGGCUCUACCCCGGAGCUCAGCAGCACCAAGGGAGGAGGGGGGCACGUUUCCAAGAGGGAAAGGGGAUGGAGGAUGUGGUUAGGGGAGGUCAUAGCAGCCCCGGCCCUGAUGUAAAAUGUGAUGCUCGUAUUUACUGCUCAGCCAGAUCUCAGUGCAACAAGGUGAUUUAGCAAAGAAGGCUUCCAUCAAGUGACAUGGGUGCCUCCAAUCCUGCAAGCUGGGGAUGGGCUGUGGGAGUGAGGAAUGAGGCUUAUUUGAUGCACCCGGAGAUCACAUCCAGUGUUACGAAAUGAGACCGGGCUCCCCCACCCCCUCUCCGAAUGUGACUUGUGCUGAGUAGGGAGAAGUUGUUGCUUAGACAGCUCAUUAAGACAAUUGGGUCUGACUUGUUUAUAGAAGCGCUGAAAACCUGCAAUCCAUACUGAUGCCAGAGGCAUUGGCCAACACUUAGCGCCUCCAAGACAGGCUCAGAAUAAAUGCCAGAGCAGCCCACCGCUGCCA
ensembl:lncRNA